GUAUCCAUGGUGUGGGCAUUGUAACAAAAAUGAUCUGAAGCAAUCCCAUGCUUUAUGAAAAGAUUCAGUAUCGUUUUGAUGAAAGUUAUAAAUUUCAUCCCUUAAUUC